CACCCAACCCUUGGCUGUUUUCCCACAGCUCAGCCCCUAAGAACUCAUAAAAGCCAAAUAUAUUUUUAUGUUGAAAUACUAAAAGGCCUUAAUUCAUGUUAUGGGUUAAUGACCUAGGGACUCUCAUUUCAAGCCAUGAGCCUAUUUUGAAGCUGAGAGCCCACAAUCAUUCCGUUAUCCAAAAAGCAGCCUUUGUGGAAGAAGACGGUGCUGGCUGUCAUCUAAAAGUGGGCUGACUCGUUCUUCUCAUUGGAAAGAAUAAAAGCACACUGGUUGUAGACUUUCACAUCAGUGGCACCUCCCUUGCCAUACCUCUAUCCCAACUCUACCCGUGCUGCCCUGAAAUGCUGGGCAACAGGUGCCACAGAAACAUCUAACGAAGAAGACAAAAAAAAGAACAAUCUUUAUAGCUAGAGCACCACAGACCAGUGGCUUAAUGUACAUGGAGGGAGCCAGGGAUAACUUCAAGGUGCAGCCACUCUUCCCGCAAAAAAAAGUAUAUGCAUAAGGCAUAAUUCCAGCAGAUCAUAGGACCACAGAUUUCGAGUUUCAAGGGACCUGAGAGGCUACUGAGUCCAACUACCUCAUUUUACAGAUAAGGACAAUGAAGCAAAGACAGGUUAAGUAACUUGC